AUGCAAGACACUAUUUAUUUAGUUCAUUCUAAAAUACAUGUUAAGUAUUCCCUAUAUGUUAUAGUUGAAGACUAUAACAUUGAACAGCAGUCCCAUCUUACAUCCAGUGUCUGUGCCUCAGCAUUUUACCUUAUUCUAUUGUUUUGCCUAAGUGCCAAUCUUUAUAUUUGUCUCUGUUGGAUUUCAUUUUGCAAGCUCCUCCACCUUUGCAAAGCACUCCCAAAAAAGUGUCUUCAUGACUGUACUAGGGCACAAAAGAGUAAAAUUCCCCUUCUGUUUCUAUUGUGAUUCAAUUACUUGUCACAGAUACACCACAGAUGAUGGAAUCUGAAUGUUUUCAAGCCUGCACCUUAGACACAAGGAAAUAUGUAAUAUGGCCCUCAGCCACUAUCAUCUACCGGCUUUCAUUAAUCAUUUGAAACAUAAAAUCUUGCUGAAAUCAAAUUGGAGGGGAGGUGGGAAAUUCUAUCUGUUUAGUGUUUGCAACCUUGCAUGCUGCCUUUAAUAGCUUUGGCUGUAAGGGACCUUUCUGGACUGGGUUGACUGUCAAUCUAUCCAGCACUAACCAAUCGUUCCUUCCCGGCCUCUGAAUUCAAAUAGUGUCCUGUCUCUCUACUCUAGUUGUCUUUCUCUCUCUUGAGUCUGUUAAGGUCUGUUGCUGAAAGCAGAAAUGUUUGCAGUUUGCUCUUUGAUCUGUUCAAACUGUAAGAAAAGAACAGCCUCUGAAUUCAAAUAGAGUCCUGUCUCUCUACUCUAGUUGUCUUUCUCUCUCUUGAGUCUGUUAAGGUCUGUUGCUGAAAGCAGAAAUGUUUGCAGUUUGCUAAUUGAUCUGUUCAAACUGUAAGAAAAGAACGUGUUCUUACUAAUAUCUUAGAGUGGGUUACUGAGACUCUUAGGUCCAGUUGAAAAAGGAGUGAAUUAAUCUGUACAAAUUGAAGCAAUUCGCUCUGUGAAUCCCCACACAUCAACUGCGCAGCUAGAUGAAUUUAACAAAAAAUUCAAAACUGUAACAUUUAGUUUAUCUUAGGAGUUGUAGGAGAAAGAAUCUCAAGAGCAGAAAGGUAAAGUUUAAGACUGCACAUAGUGGCCAUCCUGGCCAUGAGAUUCUGAGAGCUAGAGUUCAAACCAAACAGAUAUUCCCUGUCUCUGCUUGAGAGACAAAAUAUUUGGCUUAACCAUCUCUAAACUGGAUGGAACUGUGCAAGCUCCCCAUAAGCACGAAAGAGAGAUAACCCCAACCCCCAGGAGCACAAUCAGCAAGUGCCAAAGAAGUUUGCCUGCCAGGUUUCUCUGCUCCCUUCUUUCUUCACUUGUGAAGACCCUUUGCUAUGCACCAGUGCAAUGUCACAUUAUUUCCUCAUCUGUCAUCCUCCAGUGCUUACCGAUAGCCAGUGGUCAAGAUAUUUGUGCAUAAAUAAUCAGAAUGCUCUGAGUUUUCUUUAGAUUUUUAAAAAAACUGUUGCUAUGGACCAGGAGUGUCAGAGUCCUAAGAAAAAUGCAAACUGACAUAGGGGCCUCAUAUGUACAAUCAUUCUUGACAGGAAUUAUAAACCAGGGAGGUGUGCCACUAGUAUAAUUUAGCUCUAUGGAGAGUAUAUAAAUAGUCAUCUAUGACUGGAUUUAGCAAAGGUGUUACAUAACUAAAGAGAUCCAUAGGAAGUAUAUCUAUUUGAUUGGAUUUCUUUAAUUUAUAUACUGCCCCAUUAAUGCAAAAGCACUAUUCUGGUUAGUUUGACAACAAGGCAAUAUAUUAUUUGCUCAAUAGACAGAAGGUUAAAAACACCAACAACAUACAACCAAGCAGUUUCCCAAUAAGCAUCAGGACUGGAGGUAAACAGAUUGUCAACCGGGGUCAGUAUAAAGGCCUUCCUGAAAAGGAAUGUUUUGAUUUGUUUUCUAAACAAUAUCAGGAAUAGAAACAGGCAUAACUCCUCCAGAAGUUGAUUCUAUAAGGUUGGAAUUCCCUGGGAAUGAAAUGAGCAGGUCUCAGCAAGUAAGGGGAUGUAGGAACCAGACAAUGAUAGUAAGACAGGCCUGCUGUUCAAAAUGAUACUCCUCUUGUUCUCACUUAUAACAUAGCUUUUCUGUGUAUAAAAUGACACUUUUUUCCUAAAAUAAUUAGGGUAAAAUUGAGGGUUGUUUUGUACACGGAAGGAGGCAGGGACAAAGGAGCACUUACGUGCUCUCGGGCACCUUCUCUUGCUGCCGCCGCUGCCACCACCCAUUGCCUCCUCCAGUGCGACUGCUGGGGCUCACCUCCAGCUCACGUUGCUGUCUUGUCCCUUCCGAUGGCAGAGGCAGCAGGAGGCGGAGGCAAAGGAGCACUCACAUGCGCUUGGGUGCCUCUUGCUGCUGCCCAUUGACUGCUGCCAUCGCAUCGCUUCCUCCAACACUCCCAUCAGACUGGUCUGAUGCUUCAAGUGAAACUAAAAUGACCACCUGAGGCAGGAGAUAUAUGCUCAGGAAUCCAUACUGAAGGAUUGUUAGCAGGUUGGUAGUAUAUUUACAUGUUUUUUCAUUCAUGCUUUGUUUUUUUUUUCUUCAGAUAAUAAAUACACCGCCCAUUUACCCUAAUUAUUCUCC
rnacentral:lncRNA from 1 species